UAGUGGUUAGAGUUUAGAGGCGGCAGGGUAGCCUAGUGGUUAGAGUGUAGAGGCGGCAGGGUAGCCUAGUGGUUAGAGUGUAGAGGUGGCAGGGUAGCCUAGUGGUUAGAGUGUAGAGGCGGCAGGGUAGCCUAGUGGUUAGAGUGUAGAGGCGGCAGGGUAGCCUAGUGGUUAGAGUGUAGAGGCGGCAGGGUAGCCUAGUGGUUAGAGUGUAGAGGCGGCAGGGUAGCCUAGUGGUUAGAGUGUAGAGGAGGCAGGGUAGCCUAGUGGUUAGAGUGUAGAGGCGGCAGGGUAGCCUAGUGGUUAGAGUGUAGAGGCGGCAGGGUAGCCUAGUGGUUAGAGUGUAGAGGCGGCAGGGUAGCCUAGUGGUUAGAGUGUAGAGGCGGCAGGGUAGCCUAGUGGUUAGAGUGUAGAGGAGGCAGGGUAGCCUAGUGGUUAGAGUGUAGAGGCGGCAGGGUAGCCUAGUGGUUAGAGUGUAGAGGCGGCAGGGUAGCCUAGUGGUUAGAGUGUAGAGGCGGCAGGGUAGCCUAGUGGUUAGAGUGUAGAGGAGGCAGGGUAGCCUAGUGGUUAGAGUGUAGAGGAGGCAGGGUAGCCUAGUGGUUAGAGUGUAGAGGUGGUAGGGUAGCCUAGUGGUUAGAGUGUAGAGGAGGCAGGGUAGCCUAGUGGUUAGAGUGUAGAGGAGGCAGGGUAGCCUAGUGGUUAGAGUGUAGAGGAGGCAGGGUAGCCUAGUGGUUAGAGUGUAGAGGAGGCAGGGCAGCCUAGUGGUUAGAGUGUAGAGGAGGCAGGGUAGCCUAGUGGUUAGAGUGUAGAGGAGGCAGGGCAGCCUAGUGGUUAGAGUGUAGAGGA